AUACGUAGGGAGCGAGCGUUGUCCGGAAUUACUGGGUGUAAAGGGAGCGUAGGCGGGAGUGCAAGUCAGAUGUGAAAUACAUGGGCUCAGCCCAUGGGCUGCAUUUGAAACUGCAUUUCUUGAGUGAAGUAGAGGUAAGCGGAAUUCCUGGUGUAGCGGUGAAAUGCGUAGAUAUCAGGAGGAACACCGGUGGCGAAGGCGGCUUACUGGGCUUUUACUGACGCUGAGGCUCGAAAGCGUGGGGAGCAAACAGGAUUAGAUACCCUGGUAGUCCACGCUGUAAACGAUGAUUACUAGGUGUGGGGGGACUGACCCCUUCCGUGCCGCAGUUAACACAAUAAGUAAUCCACCUGGGGAGUACGGCCGCAAGGUUGAAACUCAAAUGAAUUGACGGGG
rnacentral:rRNA from 1 species